GAAAUGCGAUAAGUAAUGUGAAUUGCAGAAUUCAGUGAAUCAUCGAAUCUUUGAACGCACAUUGCGCCCGCCAGUAUUCUGGCGGGCAUGCCUGUCCGAGCGUCAUUUCAACCAUCAAGCCCCCGGGCUUGUGUUGGGGACCUGCGGCUGCCCGCAGGCCCUGAAAACCAGUGGCGGGCUCGCUGUCACACCGAGCGUAGUAGCAAUCACCUCGCUCAGGGCGUGCUGCGGGUUCCGGCCGUUAAACAGCCUUACAAAACCCAAGGUUGACCUCGGAUCAGGUAGCAAGACCCGCUGAACUUAAGC
rnacentral:misc_RNA from 1 species